rnacentral:rRNA from 1 species
AUUGAACGCUGGCGGCAUGCCUUACACAUGCAAGUCGAACGGCAGCACGGGUGCUUGCACCUGGUGGCGAGUGGCGAACGGGUGAGUAAUACAUCGGAACAUGUCCUGUAGUGGGGGAUAGCCCGGCGAAAGCCGGAUUAAUACCGCAUACGAUCUACGGAUGAAAGCGGGGGACCUUCGGGCCUCGCGCUAUAGGGUUGGCCGAUGGCUGAUUAGCUAGUUGGUGGGGGAAAGGCCUACCAAGGCGACGAUCAGUAGCUGGUCUGAGCGGACGACCAGCCACACGGGGACUGAGAAACGCCCAAGACCCUUACGGGGGGCAGCGGUGGGGAAUUUUGGAAAAUGGGGGAAAGCCGGAUCCAGAAAGGCCGCGUGUGGGAAGAAGGCCUUCGGGUUGAAAAGCACUUUUGUCCGGAAAGAAAUCCUUGGCCCUAAUACGGUCGGGGGAUGACGGUACCGGAAGAAUAAGCACCGGCUAACUACGUG